rnacentral:lncRNA from 1 species
CUGGUUUAAAUAAUUUAUUUAAUAUGUAUCACGAUCACAGAUGACAGAUAAAGUAAACUGAUAUUGUAAUGCUUUAAUUACGAUCAUUAUUUUCUAUCAUUACUCUCACUAGUACCUUUAAACUUACACGAUAGCGUGUUAUUUACAAGUUAUAAAGUACGUCAUGGUAUUUGACAUUUCUUUCCAUUGAAAAAUUUGUACAAAAAG